AGGGCAAAAUAGCACUUUAUGGACUUCCACAGAGGACAUCAUGUUUAAUACGUUUCCGGAAAAAUCCAGUCAGAAGUUGUUCACGGAGUUUUCACAAUAACUGCUUCUCAUGAACCGAAGCUGGAUUUGCACGACGUCUCCUCUUGAAAGUUGGAUUACUGUGCACUUCUGGAUCACAGGCUAUUCGCAGCUGUACACAUCCUUCUACACUGUAUGCAAACAUGCAACAUCAUUACACACAGUACAAGGAGUCAGACUGGCAUAUGAGGAGCAAAGGAACCCAGGCAGUAGCAUCGUUUCACAAUGUUUCCAUCACCAUCAUCAGUGGAUGCCUUUGCCGUCCGUACCCUGAGAUUUCAGAUUUGCAGCAAAAAAAAAUUGAUUUUCUCAUUUAUUGGAAUGCUGUGCAGGUAUUUGUACCUUGCAGCCAUCCAUUACAAUGUCACCAAGCCGUAACAAAAGCAGGAGGGAAAGUACAAGGCUAUGUUCCCAAAACACACAAGUGACAUACCUUAUGUGGAGGAUGUGAUCAGGCUUGUGUUUGAUGAGGUAUUUGAAGAUAAGCUGAAGGAAACCCCGAUUCCAAUGGACCUGGCAUCACAGUUUGAGAGACCUUCAAAGGAGGACGUGAUUGCAUGCCAUCUUCAGUGCA